rnacentral:lncRNA from 1 species
GAGGAUGAAGUCCUUGACUUUGCCACUCAAGAUAGGCGAAUCAUUCUAGGAGAAUCUAGUUCAAAAAGAUUAAAAAUCAACUUAAUUGAUAGAAUUAUCACUCAGAAGUGGUAUGUGAAAAUUACUAUCCUUAUUGAAGAUGAGUUCUCAGUCACUACUGAAGCAUUGAUUGAUUCGGGAACAGACUUAAAUUAUCUGGCUGAAGGUCUAGUUCCUUCCAAAUAUUAUUCAAAAACAGCUCAAAUGCUGAGUACUGCUGAUGGGAGCCAAUUGCAUAUUGAUUAUAAAUUAUCAGACGCCGUGGUAUGCAAUAAUGGGGUUUGUUUUGAAACUCCAUUCCUCUUAGUCAAGAAUAUGAACUUUAAGCUCAGAAGUCUUGCCUUUGUUGCCCUGCUUUUGAGAUCCUGAAGAUUGUCCUUUGAGGAAGUCAUUAGAGGGUCUCUCCAUUGCUGGUUUGGCUGAGCGUCUAGGAGAUCUGUCAAGAUUUAACACAUAAAUAUUAGGAGUAUCCUGCAAAAACUCUCUGGUUAAGAAGUCUGGCAAAGAGUUAGAGUCUCCUUUAAUAAACUCAAUGUCAAAAUCAAAGGCUGAUAGCAAGGCUUGCCACCGAGCAAAAAUCUGUUUAGAAGCAAGUGAAAAUUACUAUCCUUAUUGAAGAUGAGUUCUCAGUCACUACUGAAGCAUUGAUUGAUUCGGGAGCAGACUUAAAUCGUCUGACUGAAGGUCUAGUUCCUUCCAAAUAUUAUUCAAAAACAGCUCUAAUGCUGAGUACUGCUGAUGGGAGCCAAUUGUUAUUUUCUCAUAAUAUUUUUCUUAUAUUUUUAAAAUAUAGUUAUUUAGAAAUAAAACUAUUGUAGAAUAAUAAGGUACCAUUAUGAUUUUUAUUUUUAAAAAUUAAUCAAAGUUUAAUCUCAAUAUAUAAGUAAAUCUAUGGCAUUACAAUUGUCCGUUUAAACAUUUCAUUAUCAUCAUUGUAUUGGUAAUUGAUUGGGAGAUGGAUGUGUUAAUAAAUUUAUGGAUAUGAAGAUAGAGUUUUAAUUUCUUGAAGUAUAUUUAAAUACAGGUUUGGUUCUAAUUAAAUUAAAGGCCUAUAUUUAUAUAGAUUGAUAUAGUUCUAAGUCUAUUUAAAAUAAAUCAAAUAAAAUUAUAAAAUUUUUAAAAAAUAUUUUAGUAGUUAAAUUCUAGUCCCAUAGACUAAGAACCAAAAAACUUAAUUUUAUCCUAUUAUAUAGAUUAUUUUUCAAUUAAUCAAUAUCCUAGUAGGAGAAUAUUUUGUUGGCUGUAUUUAUAUAAACUAGACUAAUCAAUUGGUUUAAGUAUAACGUGUGAACUCUAAUUAAGUCUAAUAUGAGGUGGUUAGUGUGGGUAUUAAUGUAACUAAACUUUUAUGCUUUUGAUGACAUGCUUACUAGCCUUAUUGAGGGCUUUCAUAGUCGACUAUCAACAAAUUAAAAUGACUGAAAUACGUAAUAAAAAUAAUUAAAUUACAUAAUUUCAAUUAAUGAAAUCCAAAAACCCUUUGUAGCUUAAAAAAGAUAAAAAGAAAAUUACUAAUAUUCAACGUAACGGGAACUAUUUAUGUUGAAGUUAAGAAUUAGGGCACAUUGACUUUAUUAAUUAAGUACUACUCCUUCCGUUCUUUAAUAUAAGUCGUUUUAAAGAAAUAUUUUUGUUCCUAAAUAUAAAUAGUUUGAGAAUUUCAAGUAAGCAUUAAUUGUUUAGUUUUUAAUAUUACCCUAAGUAAUAAAUAUAACUUUGGUUCUCUCACAAUUUUUUGCCCAAUAAAUAACACUCUCUUCUUCAAAUAUAAGGGCAAUAUAGACAGUUAAUAAUAUAUUUAAUGUUAUACAAUCAUUUUCUUAAUACUUGUACAUAACUUUAAAAUGAUCUACAUUAAAGAACCGUGGGAGUACUUAAAAGAAUGGACCAAUUAAUUAAGAAAAUUAAAGGUUGGUGAUAAAAUCAAGAAGCCUCGUGUCCGUGUGUGAGUUUGUGCGUACAGGCGCGCAUUUAUUUGUGUGUACAUGUCUGCCCUUGUGUCCGUGCGUGUCUGUGUGACAGAGAUUGGGCAUAUGAGCAUAGCAUCUAUUAGGACUCAUAAAUUAAUUACUACUACAGUACAAAAAAAAAAAACAAUCCGUACCUCUAUUAUAUGAAAUUAAAAUCUAUUACAGUAAUUUCCAAUUAACAUACCUGCAGAUCAGCUGAUGAAAUCUCUGGCUAGUAUCACCAGAAGCUUAGCAUGAGUAGUAGAAAGGAGAAUGUAGCCAAAGACGUACUUGCCGAUACUCUACACAUCCAUUAUUAAUUAUGAUGCAUUUUAUGUGUGUAUAUAUAUUAAUAUAUAUAUAUAUAUAUUAAUUGUAUGUAUAUGUAUAAGUGGAAAUUAACAAAUCAAACCAUUAAAGAAAUUAAGAGUCGGCAAGUCAUCCUUGGCUGCACUCUACUUUUCUGCCCCAACAUGCAAGGCAAAGGGUGAGUUUUUUUCUUGUAAUGACUGAGAGAAAAUGGCGUAUAUAUACUAAUAUAUGUAUAUUGAGCGUCAAAGAGGAUGGAGAUGAAAAAAAGAAGAGGAAGUAAUGAAUGGAACGAAGGAAAGGAAGAAUGAAUAAUAAAAGUGAAGAGUAGUCUUAUAUAUAGAAAAGAAUUAGAGGGUGUUUGGGGAAUAUGAAUUUCAAGCGGUUUAAAUUAGACAGUCCAUUUAUAUUAGUACGUACUAUCUAAAUGUACAAUUUAAAUUUUUAUAGCCAAGAGCUGCAAUUGUAUAAACUCGAAUAUAUAACAAAUGACAACCGAAAUGCAAUUUUUUACAACUAGAUUGACUAAAUGAACGGUCAAUUUUGAACUGUUUGGAAUCAGAAUCAGGAUCAGGACAAGGAAGGAGGGAAGGAAGAGAGAUUAGUAGUAUUAUUUUUAAGUAAUUAAUUAGAGAAAAUUAAUGCACACAAAGGAUUAUUAUCUCGAAUCGAGGAGCUAGGUAGGCGAUGAGGAUAGGUCUUAUGGGGAUCUUAUUUUUUGAGGCCCAGUAAUAUAUACUAGAUCAGUAAGCGAUAAGGUUCCAUACAAUAGUACUAUGAUCUCUUUUCCCUUAUUUAUACUAUAUGACAAAUAGCUUGCAACUUGCAAGUGUACUGAUAUAUAUAUAUAUAUAUAUAUAUAUAUAUAUAUAUAUAUAUAUAUAUAUAUAUAUAUAUAUAUAUAUAUAUANNNNNNNNNNNNNNNNNNNNNNNNNNNNNNNNNNNNNNNNNNNNNNNNNNNNNNNNNNNNNNNNNNNNNNNNNNNNNNNNNNNNNNNNNNNNNNNNNNNNGCAGAGGAUAAUUAAUAAAUUUCCACAUUUGUGAUAAAACAUGGUUAUUAAACAUGUGAGCAUUAAAGAUAUGAUGCAGAUUUUAUCCUUAAUCAUACGCCUAAAUUAUGAAUUCACAUCCAUUCUUUUUCUUGUUUUUUUUAAGGUUUAAGGUUUCAUGAAAUCAUUAAAUCAAUGUGAUAUUAUGCCAGUGGAUUAAAUAUAUAGAACUGUUUAAUGUGCGUGGCUCUUUCAGUUCCCCCAUCUUCUAAAUUGGAGCCAAAUAUAUAUAUAUAUAUAUAUAUAUAUAGAGAGAGAGAGAGAGAGAGAGAAUGAUUCAUGAUACGUACGUGUCAUGGACAAAAAAUGGGCAUGCAUACAUUAUUAUUGCGGUACAAAAUAAGAACAAACGGUCAUGAUUAAAAAUAGAAAGUUGUUGUUUACUACUAUUAGUAGCGGACGUGAAUAUUAACCCUGAAGUAUACACCCUUUUACCAUUCGUAUCUCGAUGUUUAAAUGCUCUCAUUCCGCUAUCCCAAGUACCGUUAAAUAAGCAUAACUGACCUUUUUGGUCAAUUUGUUAGCCGAAAAAAUGGCCACGUGUCACAAUUUAAAUGGGCAAAAAUUACAAAGAGUCAAUUAUGUUUACUUAACGGUACUUGGGGUAGCGAGAUGAGAGCGUUUAAACAUCGGGAUAGGAAUGGUAAAAAGAUGUAUAUAUUUCGGGAUAUAAUAUGCAAUUAUCCCAAAUUUUUAUUUGUCUACUAAAAAGAGCUAGCAUAUGCUAAUCAGAAUAGCCAUCAUCUCUUCCACUCCAUUUAUUAUUUAAAGUUUGGCCUCCUUCAUUUUUUCCGCACGAUUUAUUAUUUAGAAUUUGUGAUUUAAUAACUAGGGUUUGUGGUUUAUUUAUUAGAAUUUAAGGUUUAUUCAAUAGGGUUUAGGGAUUAUUCACUCUAUUUUUUUUAUGAAUUAGGUAAUUAAUAAAUCAUAAACCCUAGUUAAUAAAUCAUAAAUCAUAGUUAAUAAAUCCUAAACACUAAAUAAUAUCUCGUGGAAAAGAUAAAGGAGGCCAAACUCUAAAUAAUAAAUCGAGUGAAAGAGAUUUGGAUAAAUUUGUUCAGUGUCUCACGUCUGCUACAAGUAACAGAGGUUGAUUUUCUAUUUUUAAUCAUGGUAUUGUGUUUUUAUAUUGUGUAUGCCCGUUUUUUAUCUAUAACAUAACACGUACGUGUCAUGGAUCAUUUUCAAUAUAUAUAUAUAUAUAAAGAAAAUUAAAAAUAAUACUUAUCUUAUUUCUUGAACCUUGGUACUAUAUUUAAUUAAUGCAGGCACAGUUAAUUGUUAGUGCACAUAUAUUUUAUAUUUGCUUUUAUGUGUGCUCGUUAGUGUCUGAUGAUAGAUAUACAGGUCAAAUCUAGUUCAGAAGAUUUCUGCAAAUAACAGUGUUUUAACAUUACUGAUACACAUGUUAUAUAUAGAAAGAGAAAGAAAAAGGAAGUACCUUACAACGCGGUAAUUCUCUAUUUCUCGCUCCGGAAAGAAGGAAAGAAAGAAAGAAAAACGGAGGUCGGCCGGCGGGAUGAUUAGGAAAUUAGACAUAUGGGGCCUGCAGUGGAAGUAUGGGUGCAGAAAUGUUGGAUCUUGGGAAAUGAGGGGACUCGGAGAUCAAGGCCACAGAGCUAGGUAAUAUUCUGGGCACUAGUUUGGAUAUAUUCCCUUCUUUUUCCCCCUUUUUUUGUAAAGCCCCCCAUGUUUCUUGAUUUGCCCAAAACAGAUUACUCUCCCCCCUCUCAGCAGAUAACUUAGU